AUGGACACUGUUCUGAAACCAUAUGCCAUCAGUGCUCCCAGCUAUGUACGUGACACCACAGAUUUCCUGAGGAAAAUACAAUCUUUAAAUAAUCUUCCCAACAAUACUAUACUAGCUACUAUGGAUGUGGAAUCUCUGUAUACCAACAUCCCACACAACGAUGGUUUACAAGCUAUAAGGAACACCAUUUCAGAUAAAACCACAGCGGACUUUGCCACCAAACUCUGCCAAUUUGUCCUUACCCACAACAACUUCAAAUUCAGUGAUGACCUGUUCCUUCAGAUCAGCGGCACAGCAAUGGGCACCCGCAUGGCCCCACAGUAUGCCAACAUCUUCAUGGCAGAUUUAGAACAACGUUUCCUAAACUCCUACCCACUCAAACCUCUCUUGUACCUGCGAUACAUUGAUGAUAUUUUUAUCAUCUGGACACAUGGUCAACAGACCCUGAACACCUUCCACCAGAAAUUCAAUGAUUUUCACCCCACAAUCAACCUAACAAUGAAUCAAUCUAUGCAAGAAAUACAUUUUUUGGACACUACUAUAAAAAUACAGGAUGGGCACAUAGACACCACCUCAUACCGUAAACCAACUGACCGACAAACAUAUCUACAUGCCUCUAGCCACCAUCCCAAACAUACCAAACAGUCCAUCGUAUAUAGCCAGGCACUACGUUACAGCUGUAUCUGUUCCAAUUCUACAGACAGAGACUCUCACCUAAGAGAUCUACAGCAAACCUUUUUAGAACUAAAAUACCCAGCAGAUGAAGUUAGACAACAGAUCAACAGAGCCAGACUGAUACCCAGAGAGAACUUGCUGCAAGACAGACCCAAAAAAGAAAAUAACAGAACUCCUCUAGUCAUCACAUACAGCUCCCAAGUUAAAACAGUACAACGCAUCAUCAGAGAUCUACAACCUCUCCUGGACAAUGACAGUUCUCUUUCUCAAGCUCUGGGAGGAAGACCUUUCAUUGCCUACAGACAGCCACCCAAUCUUAAACAACUCCUAACCCACAAUAAUACUACAACCAGACUUAACACGGACACUGGCACCAGAGACUGCAAUAAACCCAGAUGCCAACUUUGCUGCCACAUACACCCGGACAACACCAUUACUGGCCCCAACAACAUCACACAUACCAUCUCGGGACUAUUUAAUUGCUCAUCGUCUAACAUUGUGUAUGCCAUCAAAUGCCAACAGUGUCCUUCAGCUCUCUAUAUUGGACAAACAGGCCAAACCUUACGCCAAAGAAUAAACGGACAUAAAUCUGACAUCAAGAAUCACAAGACAGAGAAACCAGUAGGAGAACACUUCAAUCUCCCAGGACAUUCUAUACAAGAUCUCAAAGUAGCUGUUUUACUACAAAGGAAUUUCAGAAAUAGACUGGAAAGAGAAGCUGCUGAAUUGCAAAUCAUUACCAAACUUAAAACCAUGGAGACACCUGGCCUGAACAGAGACAUUGGAUUCUUAUCUCACUAUACAUGA
rnacentral:lncRNA from 1 species